AACGUAGGUGGCGAGCGUUAUCCGGAUUUACUGGGCGUAAAGGGCUCGUAGGCGGCCAACUAAGUCAGACGUGAAAUCCCUCGGCUUAACCGGGGAACUGCGUCUGAUACUGGAUGGCUUGAGUUUGGGAGAGGGAUGCGGAAUUCCAGGUGUAGCGGUGAAAUGCGUAGAUAUCUGGAGGAACACCGGUGGCGAAGGCGGCAUCCUGGACCAACACUGACGCUGAGUGAGCGAAAGCCAGGGGAGCGAACGGG
rnacentral:rRNA from 1 species